rnacentral:lncRNA from 1 species
UCUUUUAGACACGAUUAAAAAUUUAAAAAAGUGAAUAUACCCUGAAGCACUUUUACAAAAUCAGGGGUCCUUGAACACACUGAACAAUGACCUGUGCCAGGCCCCAUGCUGAAUAUUGCAGAGCGAACUCACAAAUCCUCACAGAUUCUCUAAGCUAACAAUCACUAGGUUUUGUGAUUAUCCCCGUUUUACAGUAGGGAAAACCAAGGGCUGGAGUAGUGAAGUCACUUGCCAGGGCCGCAGAGCUCCUUGCCGCUCGGCUGCCUUACUGCCUUGUUUCCCCUGGCUUCUCUUUGUGCCUGCAAUGCAGCCAAGUGGAACCCUCCUCUCUUCCUGGACAGGAGGAGUUCUUGCCUCCUGAUCUUUGCUCUCUGUAAUCUUCCACUCAUUUUGGCUCAGGUAAACAGCACUGUUUUCAAUACCACUGCACCCUCUUCUGUUCUAAACUCUAUGUCCUUGCCAGAUCUUUCCAGGAACAUCAGCAGGACCCAGGUCCACCCCGAGCCACCUUCCCUGCCUGGCACGUUCUAAAUAUUGGAAUUAUUGAGUGAGUGAAUGUCUGUAACUGAUUUUGAUUUUUUUUCUUGAAAGACAUGUAUCACUGUACAAUCCAUAAAUCACUGUACUUAUCACACUGAAAAUACACGUAUCACUGUAUUUUCAGCAAUACAACUAUAUCUGGAUGUUUUAAAUUUUUUGAGAAUAUGAUAUUCUCUGUGCAAGUAUGUUUUAGCCCAGACUGUCUGUUUAUCCAGGCUGCUUAGUGGGAAAUGGUUAAUAAAGGA